UGGGGAAUUUUGGACAAUGGGCGAAAGCCUGAUCCAGCAAUGCCGCGUGUGUGAAGAAGGCCUUCGGGUUGUAAAGCACUUUUGUCCGGAAAGAAAUCCUUGGCUCUAAUACAGUCGGGGGAUGACGGUACCGGAAGAAUAAGCACCGGCUAACUACGUGCCAGCAGCCGCGGUAAUACGUAGGGUGCAAGCGUUAAUCGGAAUUACUGGGCGUAAAGCGUGCGCAGGCGGUUUGCUAAGACCGAUGUGAAAUCCCCGGGCUCAACCUGGGAACUGCAUUGGUGACUGGGCAGGCUAGAGUAUGGCAGAGGGGGGUAGAAUUCCACGUGUAGCAGUGAAAUGCGUAGAGAUGUGGAGGAAUACCGAUGGCGAAGGCAGCCCCCUGGCCAAGUACUGACGCUCAUGCACGAAAGCGUGGGGAGCAAACAGGAUUAGAUACCCUGGUAGUCCACGCCCUAAACGAUGUCAACUAGUUGUUGGGGAUUCAUUUCCUUAGUAACGUAGCUAACGCGUGAAGUUGACCGCCUGGGGAGUACGGUCGCAAGAUUAAAACUCAAAGAAUUGAC
rnacentral:rRNA from 1 species